rnacentral:rRNA from 1 species
ACGCUGGCGGCGUGCCUAACACAUGCAAGUCGAGCGAGGAGAUCCUCGGGAUGAUCCUAGCGGCGGACGGGUGAGUAACACGUGGGCAACCUGCCUCAUAGAGAGGAAUAGCCUUCCGAAAGGGAGAUUAAUACCUCAUAACAUUGCAGUUUCGCAUGAAACAGCAAUUAAAGGAGCAAUCCGCUAUGAGAUGGGCCCGCGGCGCAUUAGCUAGUUGGUGAGGUAACGGCUCACCAAGGCGACGAUGCGUAGCCGACCUGAGAGGGUGAUCGGCCACAUUGGGACUGAGACACGGCCCAGACUCCUACGGGAGGCAGCAGUGGGGAAUAUUGCACAAUGGGGGAAACCCUGAUGCCAGCAACGCCGCGUGAGUGAUGACGGCCUUCGGGUUGUAAAGCUCUGUCUUCAGGGACGAUAAUGACGGUACCUGAGGAGGAAGCCACGGCUAACUACGUGCCAGCCGCGGC